ensembl:snoRNA U3 Small nucleolar RNA U3
AAGACUAUACUUUCAGGGAUCAUUUCUGUAGUUUGUUACUAGAGAAGUUUCUCUGAUCAUGUAGAGCACCCGAAGAUUUGUAUGGAAAUACAAA